AGCGAACGCUGGCGGCAGGCCUAACACAUGCAAGUCGAACGAACUCUUCGGAGUUAGUGGCGGACGGGUGAGUAACACGUGGGAACGUGCCUUUUGGUUCGGAAUAACUCAGGGAAACUUGUGCUAAUACCGAAUGUGCUCUUCGGGGGUAAGAUUUAUCGCCAUUAGAGCGGCCCGCGUCUGAUUAGCUAGUUGGUGAGGUAACGGCUCACCAAGGCGACGAUCAGUAGCUGGUCUGAGAGGAUGACCAGCCACACUGGAACUGAGACACGGCCCAGACUCCUACGGGGGGCAGCGGUGGGGAAUCUUGCGCAAUGAGCGAAAGCCUGACGCAGCCAUGCCGCGUGAAUGAUGAAGGUCUUAGGAUUGUAAAAUUCUUUCACCGGGGACGAUAAUGACGGUACCCGGAGAAGAAGCCCCGGCUAACUUCGUG
rnacentral:rRNA from 1 species